AGAGUUUGAUCCUGGCUCAGGAUGAACGCUGGCGGCGUGCCUAAUACAUGCAAGUCGAACGAGGUGCUUUUGUAGCAAUACGAAAGUAUCCUAGUGGCGAACGGGUGAGUAACGCGUUGGUGACCUACCCCAAAGUGUGGGAUAACAGUCCGAAAGGAUUGCUAAUACCGCAUGUGGUCUUCGGAUUUAGAAACUGAUGACUAAAGGAGCAAUUCGCUUUGGGAGGGACCUGCGUCCCAUCAGCUAGUUGGUGAGGUAACGGCUCACCAAGGCGACGACGGGUAGGGGACCUGAGAGGGUGGCCCCCCACAAUAGAACUGAAACACGGUCCAUACACCUACGGGUGGCAGCAGUAGGGAAUAUUGCACAAUGGGCGAAAGCCUGAUGCAGCAACGCCGCGUGUGCGAUGAAGGCCUUCGGGUCGUAAAGCACUUUUCUGAGAGAUGAGAAAGGACAGUAUCUCAGGAAUAAGUCUCGGCUAACUACGUGCCAGCAGCCGCGGUAAAACGUAGGAGGCAAGCGUUAUCCGGAUUCACUGGGCGUAAAGCGCGUGCAGGUGGUUCGGUAAGUUAGGCGUGAAAUCUCCCGGCUCAACUGGGAGAGGUCGUCUAAUACUACCGAACUUGAGAGCAGAAGAGGAAGAUGGAAUUCCCGGUGUAGUGGUGAAAUGCGUAGAUAUCGGGAGGAACACCAGUGGCGAAGGCGAUCUUCUGGUCUGUUUCUGACACUCAGACGCGACAGCUAGGGUAGUAAACGGGAUUAGAGACCCCGGUAAUCCUAGCCGUAAACGAUGUGAACUUGGCGUUGGUGGGUUAAACUCCAUCAGUGCCGAAGCAAACGCGAUAAGUUCACCGCCUGGGGACUACGGCCGCAAGGUUAAAACUCAAAGGAAUUGACGG
rnacentral:rRNA from 1 species